GUCUUCGAUCGCACCGCACGCGCCGACUACCACGACGACGUCCAUCGCGUCCGGUUUAUUUUGUUUUAUUUUAUAUUGUUACGACCGUGUUUUUUUUUUUUUUUCACCCACCGAUGACUGGUCGUCUCGUCGAGUUCGCGAACAAAUAACGUUUGGAAAUUAAUACAUCGACGGUGCGCGCGUGCUAUUGUGACCCGAGUGCCGAGUGAUAAGAACGAAUUUCGAUUGGAGCAACAGCGAGGCCCGGCAGCAGCGGUUUCGUCCGGAAAACGAACAAGAUAACGUGCGUAGUGAGUCGUCGAAUGUUUCAUUUGAUUGGGCAAGCGGGUUCUAAAUACAGUAUAUUUUCAAAAUUUAAUUUUAUGGAAAUUAAUGUUAGCGUACGAUAUUUCGAGUCUGCGUUUUCGCGUUCCGCUGCAAUGAGAAAUCCCGUCUACGCCAGUGGGCGAAUCGUAAUAUUAUAGAUCGUAUAAAACAGAGACAUCAGGUAGGUGCCCAGUAAAAAACCGCAGAUUUACCGCGUUCGUUCGUUUUGUGCUUUUGCAAUCUUGACGUAUCUCUCGCGGGUGCAAAAUGCGACGUUAAACCGCGCAUGUAGGUGUACAAUAUUUAUUUAUAUAGUUACAGUGCAUGUCGAACACGCGUCCGAUAGGAUUUCGAACAGUAGGUAUUUAAUGUUAGUUUUGAACCUGAGAUAAACAUCAUGUUACACACGACCAACGGGACCCUGCAUCAGCCCCGCUUUUGAGCUAUGAGCGAAGAACGUGAAAUUGUCCCGAUUCGAAAACAAAAAGGCGACCGUAGAAAUGUAUUCAGGUAAACGCGUAUGCAAGUAUGAUACGCAUUCCGAACGAUAUUACAAUUGCGAGAACAGCAAGAACAAUAUUAUUUUUUAUUUUUUGUUUUUAUUUUUAAAAUUGUAUAAUCCGCAAGUAUUGUUUUUACAAUAAGCACAAAUGACAUUCAUGUAGGUAACACAAACAUAUUAAAUUAGGCAAUUCAAUAUCUAUUGCGUCAAGGCAGUUUAUGUUCUGAGAGAAGGGUCCGUCCAUUGACGGAACUUCACGGCGGGUGUAAGAACAAUGUAACGAGAUUUCCCGCGUCUAUGAUAUCCGCCGAGCGACAAGCGGGGGCAACAACUGCAAAACGCCGUGCGCACGUUUCAACGAGAAAAUUCGAGUGCGUGUUUGUUAAAUGUAACGGGUAUUGUAUGCAAUAUCAACCCGUGUUCACGACACCGACUUAAAUCGACCGUUUACGGUUGAAAAUACCGUUUCGGAACGCGUCGAAAGGCGUCUGAACAAUAAUAAUUCGACGAAAUGUACAUUUUCGCAUUGCGCGUCGAGAGCGAGUUUGUAGUCCACAAUGUGUUAAACAUUGCGUUUCGUUUUUGUCGUAACGCAUAUUACGGCCGUCAGUUCCGACGCUGCAAUCGCACGGUACGCGCCGAUAGCGUUGCAUUGAUUUUCGCGUAGGGAUGCGAUUGAAACGUCUACCGGCUUGUCGCGCGUCGAAACGGUCCGGUUGCGCGUUGUUAAAACGUAAACGGUACGGACCGUAUUCCGGGUGGCGAAAAAGCUUACGGCCUAUGCGAAUCAACAACGUCCGUUUUCGGUUUCUCUCUUUCGGACAGUCCGUCGGGCUGCGCCCGCCGACAAAUGACGAUACGGGCGCGCGGGCACCGCGGCGAUCCGGUCCGUCGGAUCGUCUCGCGAGCUCUUCGAUAACGACAACGCGGUCGCAAUCCGUUUCUGUCCCGGUCGGACGAACGCCGCGGCGCAUCACCGACGACGCACGGGACGCGCAAUAUUCCGGAUGUCGCGCGCCGUGUGUUUGUCGUGUCGUUAUGGAUGUAUCGCGCGCGUCCCCCUGUACAGCGACAACGUCCCGUUUGUAUUUGUUCAACGGCGCGCGCGUUACAAUUUCGAUUCGCGUCCCCGCGCACGUGUUCAGCGGGUUCGGCCGAUCUCACAGUUUUCCCCAACCCCCCCCCCACCCUCCGCGGCCGUCACUAUCUCCUCGUAGUCGAACGACGACAACUAACGGGUGUCCGCGACGGCUUAUCACUUCCCCGGACACUACCAGCGCUCAUCUCGCCCGUUCCGUUAACUAUCUCAUUAUGUACAACACCUUAACCGUCUCUUCUUUUCUCGACAUUUUUAUUUUAUGUCGUUUUUUUCUCCGGUUUUUCUCGUAUAUAUAUGUAUGCAGUUCUAUAUCCAACCUCGUUACACCGCACGUCCAAUCUCGACGUUUUUAUUUCUACAACUUUCGUCACUAUUACAUUUAUUUUAUAUUCAAGGCCCAGACGGCCCGCGCAUUAUCGGUGAUCUCGCGACAGUUUUAUUAAAUUGUAUUUUUAUUCCUCGAUAACACGCGACAACACUUCCCUCCGUGUCAUACGUAACUCUUACUGACUCGUACUCAUCUUCCAUUUUUUCCAAAAUCUCACGUCCAAACCAGAACUCUAAAAACCACACGACUGUGUAAAACCUACCACCCAAGUGCAUCUUUUUUUUUAUCAAACGGUUACAGAAGCAUAGUUACCAUAACAAGUUCAAGUACGACCGAUGACACGAUACAAAACCGAUAAUGAUACGCAUUAUCCGCUGCGUGAAUCGUGUCAGCGCGCUACGUACGGCGAGAACGGAACAUCCUGCAGCCAAUUGUCGUUGUUUUCCGCGCACGUGUAUUUUAUUCGUCUACUUAAGUUAUAGUACUCAUUACGCGCACUCUGUAUACACGCGACGGCGGAAGGUUCGGUCCAAUUAACACGAUUAGUGUUUAUAGUAUCUGGAUAAACACAAAGUGUUUACACGGAAAGAAAAACUACCACGGAGACGAUUAUAUUAUAUAUAAUUAAUUGCGGUUGUUCCGUUUUGUUUCGAUGGCCAUGACUUUCUUUAUGUGUAGGUAAGCACACUGUUUUCGAAACGAUUCCUAGUUCGAUCAAUCGCCCUUCCUUCUUCUCACAUAUCUGAGCGCCAGUGAUAAUCCGCCAUCGACCCGUUGUGUAAUAUCAUAAUCGUUUUCAAUAUAUUUAUUAUAUUAUCAUCUUGUUUUUCGCUCUUUCGUUCGCGAAACAUAUCAUAGUUGACAGUCCACAGAAGACCACGGUAAUGAUAUUAUUGUAUUAUCGAAACUGACAAACGAUUUGUCGUGUUCGUUUUCGAGAUUCACGGCGAUUAUUGAUACGCUGCAAAAUCAAAAAUAGUCAGCUAGAUCGCAGUCAACACAUUAACAUAUUAUCAAACUUUAUUAUAGUCAAAUCACUUUUCCGAACAAGAGUAAAUCCACAAAAAAAAAAUCGAUCGACAGUCUCUAUCGACGAUGUAAAAGCUUACAGUAAAAAUAACACAUACAUUUCUUUUUCUUCUUUCUGGCUUCACAACUCUUCCAUACGUUUUGUCGUCGACGACACUGCUUUCACCUGCUCGCGAUUAUGUAGUCUCUUUUGCCAAUACACUGAAUCCGAUUUGUUCGGGUCUUAUUCCACUUCGUCUAUCCAUCGCUUCUUCGUCGACGUCGUCUAAUUUUUUUUCCGCCUUUAGGCUCGUUGAUUCCGCGGUUUCCUCGUCGCGUUUCCUAACCGUUGAAUCAUUCUCUGUGCAUUCGAAAAAUGUGUUAUCAUCGGUAUCUGUACAUGUCAACAGGAUUACAAUUUAUGUAAACUAUAACACAACUUUAUACGUCGAUAAUAGUAAAAUGUACAUUAAGAAUUAAGAUGUAGUAAGUCUCGUUGGAUAGCCGAUAUGCAUAUCCAAGGCAUUAACAAGUAUGCCAAUUUGAAAUUUAAAAGAUCACACGUAAGGGCUGCACGAAUCCUUAAUUGGUUUAGACUCUUUUGUUUUGAAAUUCCGGGCACAGACUUGUACACAGUUUCGCAUUCAGGAUUUAUGUCGGCAAUGUGUAAGGGCCGGCUUCACGGACGUAACAUAAUUGCGCUUUGAAUACAAUAACUGAGCUGACAAAAAAAAGUCUGUUGUACAACGAUAUAGUAGAGAAAUAUUUCUAUUCGUUUAAUUCAAUUUAUACGAAUAUAUAUAUAUAUACAUAUAUCCUGUUUUUAUUUUUUUUUUUCAACCGGAAGAAAGAUAAAUAAUAAAAAAAAAAAAAUGAAUAAUAAUAAUAACGGCGAACGGCUCGAAAACGAUGACCUGAAAACGCCGACCAGUUUUAACCGCGGGGAGAGGCUCAGCGGCACACAGUCUUGUAUACCCACGUGUGCGCUAUAAACGCGAUUUCGUCCGCUCGGAUGUGUCAAACAAGUCGCGCCGGGCGGUGUCCGGGGGCCGCAGAAGAUCCUGACCGGAAGCCCGUUGAUGCGGUUUCCGCGCGACCGCGUGCGUAAUAUGUUUUCGGUUCGCGGACGACGUUUACCGAUUUUGCGAUGACUUACGCGCGCGGAUUACUAAAGAAAACGUCUCGUCCCCGAACGCGCAUACCCUGCGAACCGGUCGCUCUUCGGUGUAAUUCCCUUCGCCUUUGAUUACAAUCCCGCGCAGGUGGGCCCGACUGCCAUCGCUCCUCUCGCCACCGCCUUCCGCGUCGCCGUGCGUUCACCGCCGUAAUAAAAUAUAAUUCCCCCGUACACCCGACGCACGCUCUGGCACUCGUGGUCUCACUCAAUAACCGCCAGUCCGUUUUGCUUAGCGGUCUGUCGCUUCUUCGGUUCCCGUCGCUCAACCAAACGCCGGACGGACGGAUCUCGAAAAAUCAUAACAAAUUAUUUUCGGUUUCAUUUUUCUCAUCGUUGGUGUUACUCUACCAACAGACCGUAUGCUAUGCACGUUGUUCAUCAAUCGACUGUAUUAGAUUUAUAAUGGUCGAUUUUGCAUAUGCAUCGGAUAAAUGCAUUGUUUCAUCACGGAAAUUGAACAUAUUCAAUUCGGUACUCACACAACAAAAUUAAUUAUUAUAACUAAACAGCAUAAUUUGUUUGGUUUAAUAACAGUCAUCGCGCUAGUUUUUUAAAAUUACUAGAAUUUACGUAGAUUCCGGACAGCAAUUACUACGAUGGAUAAUUCUGGGAAUUGGGCCAAUUAGUCAGACGUGAUCGAGAAAAAAAAAAAUAUGUAUUUUAAAUCGUCAUCGAUGACGUCGUUGCAACCUUUCUUUAUUCACUAUAAACCCAUCACGUUCUUGCAACACUUCAACGAAAUUCAUACUUUCUCCAAACAGCAGGUUGGUUUAUCGUGUCGUGUGUAUGCGUGUGUGUGUGUGUGUGUGCCGUAUGCGGUGUAGACAUGCACGUAAAAGUUUGUAAAACAAUCGGGCAUUUUUUUUUUCUUUUCAAAUAUUAUGUGCAAAAACUCACGUGUUUGAUUCGAUAAUCGUUAUCGUGUUUAUUGUUAUACUAUGUAAUAAUAUUAGGAUACAUUCGUGUUGCACUAAUAACGAUUAGGACUUACUUAUGAGUAAGUCAUCAUUGUGGGUGGGAAGUCUGGAACGUACAAGACAAAGGGUAAUUAAGUUUAUGUAUCGCGUAAAAGCAACGGUCAAUAACUGAAAUCAAAAAACUAUUCUUAGCCGAGCUCGGUAAACUUUGUUAGUCGUGUUUUUUCUCGUGAAAUCGAGGUAAUCUAAAAAUUUACAAAAAUAAAUCUAAUGCGUAUCGAUUUAAUUAAAAAAACAAUUAUCUCGACAGUUAUUGUUGUCAGUUUUUUUAUUUAUUUUUUUUCGAAAAAUGUUUGAGAAUCUAGUUUCAAAUAAAUAAACCACUAGACAAAAAGUUCACAUCUCUCAAGGUAGUUGGAAGCCAUGAUAAAAUCGGAAUUUUUUUACUGACAAAACAGCGUUAAAAGCACAUAGUAUCUUAGUAUCUUGGAUAAAAUACAUUUCUUAGCUAAUUUUGGAAAUUUAUUUUUCCCGUUUAUAUUCUCGCUUAUAUUCACGGUAGGUUUGAAAAAUAUCUAGGCCGUGUGUUCUGAAUUUUGCCGGGCUUAGAUUUACUGAUUUUAAUUUUUUUUUUGGUUUUUAUCUUCUAACCUCAAUUGUAAGUUAAUCUUCAUAAUUCAUCUUUAUAUAGCAAGUGUUUCCGAAAAUGUUUUGUUCCAUAAUUUGUUUUUUUUACAGUCGUGGUUAAAUUGUAAAUCAUGAAAAUUAUAACACCAUUUGUAUUAAAACAUCAACAUAGUGCAUAUUGCAUUAGCAUGAAACAAUAACACAUAGCAUUAGUUUAAUUUGUUUUCAUUUGUUGAUCAUCCUGUAAAACUACAAAAUCUGAAAGACGCACUAUAAUUGUAGUGUAUAUAUAUAUAUAUAUAUAUUGAAAUUUAAAAACUUCGAAACCUCAAAUAGCCGUUUAGAAUUACUACGAUUUAAUCAUAAUAAUAUUAAACAUUUAAAUCGCGUGGUCGAACUGGAUUGGCCUCAUACCACGACUAGAUCAUUCGAACGAGUUUGUUUAAGGUGUGUUACUUAUUCAAGUAUAUAUGUUUUAAUUUUCCAUCCGUAACAAGUAACUGUUGGGCUUUCGCUAAAAAUGAUUCGUUUAUACGAUUGUAAAAAAUAUUCGCAAAUUUAUCAUUUUGAAUUGUCAAUGAAUAUUUCGGUUCAUUCUGUUUUAAACGCGAGAUUGUAUUUUUUUUCAACCUUCAGAUGUUAGGUCUUUUUUUUCAUGUUUAUGUGUUGAGUAUAAAAUGUAGAACAUUACUGACCUAAGUUAUGCUGUAGGUGAAAUCUAGGUUUAAUUAUAUUUUUUUACUGUAAAAAGUAAUGGUAUAUAACUUUCAAAACAUCACGAAUCACGAUUUUAGAUUCUGAGCGGUAACUUCAAUAUACGACUGCAUACUAUUAUUUGUCCCAGCGGUGUUUUUUUGUUUUUCUAUUUGUUGGUGAACAAUUUUUCGGGGCACGUGAUAAACCUGUGAUUUGUCGAUCAUUUGAAAAAAAUAAAAAUGUAAUGUACAUAUAUGUGGCAUUACAUAUUAUACAAUGUUUCCGUAUAUAGACGCAUCCGACUUACCACGUAUAUUUAAAGGGUACGCAAUUCUUAUAGGGUUAGUUUCUGAUUUUCACAUUAGGAAAUUAAAAUUAUAAAAAAAAAAAAUGAAAAAAAAUGACAGAAAACAUACAAUUUUACAAUCGACCGGUUUGUACAACCGUUAUUCAAUUUUUAUUCAAACGUCAAGGUAAUAAUAAUUAUUAAUAACAUACGAUCUACGGGAAUUGUGGUUAUGAUAAUGACUACACUGAUGAUAUACAUCAAAUUAUCUAUUAAUAUUCCAUAACGGUAAGUGAUUCGGACAUGAAUAUGACCGAAAAACUCGGAAACACGUGCGAAUUUUAAACAUAAUAACAUUUGUGCAUACUUGUUCUAAGUUAGGUACGACAAAAUGUAUAGAUAAGUAAAAAACCCGAACAAAAGUUGAAAUAAAAUUGUGUUUUAUGUACGUCUAAAUGUACGAUUUAUAAAACGACGUAAAGAAAUUUGCUGGUCGUAAGUUAAUUCUUUUUUUUUUUACAUACCUUAAAAUUAUUAUUCUUCAGUAAAAUUAAAAGACAUUUUAGUGUCCAUAACUAUAGCCAAACUUGUCUAGGGUUUUUUAAAGUAGUUAACCUUUAGUUACACUAUUUAUUACCUUGUAACUGUAAAUGUUGGUAAGGUGUUUAAAAAUAAAAUAUUUGUACAGCGUUAAAUCAAAGUACACCAUUUUAUAAACAAUUAACGGCUCUUUAAAAAAAAAAAAAACUUAUUUGGGCAAUCUUAAGUAUUAUGUUUAUUCAGUAAUGUUGUAAUAAAAAAAAAUAAAACAAAAACAUUUUUUAAUUUAAUUUUUUAUAUUUGUUCCGCUUUGCUUCACGACCAAAGAAGUUAUGUUUGUGGUAAGAACUAGAGUACCUAUACGCAACUUUUUAAUAAUUAGUGGCCUCGAAUUGCUAUUAAAUAAGUAAAAUCGAUACCGCUACAUAUUGCUUCGUUGUAUAUUAUGUGUUUAUUUGAGUACAUAAUAUUUCCAAAUGAAGAUAGCGACAGCGAGAACAAUGCAAGUGACGAGAUCGAUAGUGACACAAGUGGUUUUGAUGACAUUCUCUGAUUUCGUACACAAAUAUAAUAUAUACACGAGUGUUUUCUAUUUUAAACAAUCUACCAAAAUUUACAAUUACAAGGAAAUAAAUGUGUAACAACACGAGGUAAAUUACUUACUUUAAAACACCCUAUUUAAGCCCGCUUGUCGUUAAAGAGACUGAAAUAAAGGAAAACGUUUCCUCGGAAAAUAAUGAUUUCAUAUUUAGGUAUGUAAACAAUUUGAUUAUAACCGACAAAUUUCUGUUUUGAAACAUUGAACGACGUAAAGUGACAUGCCUAUUAUACGUAUAUUUGUUUUACUCAAACAUUGACAUAUCAUAAGGUUGGCUACAUUACUUAACAACAAUAACAGAUACCGAAAUUCAUUUACAAACAAUUUACAACUUUACAUUGGUCCAUCUAUUUAGUACCUAUUAUUUACUAUCUGAUAUCAAAAUCAAUCAUUAUCAUUCAUAGAUUUGUAUGUGUCGUUGGUUCUAAACGAUAUCGCUAGUCGAUACUAUACAAUAUGCAAAUUGAUUGAAAAGUCAGUAGCUGUAAUUCGAAAUUUAAUGCAGAUAUUUUAGUGGAGUUUUCAUGAUCAAUAGCCUCCUUUUUAUAAUGGUUUAAAAUAAAAGAAAGUCAAGAACCGUUAAAAUGUUUUUUUAAUUUUUCAAAUAUUCGAAAAUAGUCAUUUUGUAGAGUUAUUUGUUUAAAGUAUGGAGAAAAAAACAAUUUUGAAAUCGGGUGAAUUUUGAAUGAAUGACAGAAACUUCUUUUUCCAAAAAUACAGCAUAAUAUUGCAAUACAGUGUAACGCUAAUCCAAAAGUAAUAUAAAGUAGGCAAACUGUUCAUGCUGUAUUUUUGGAAAAAGAAGUUACUCUCAUUCAUUCAAAAUUCACCUGAUUUCAAAAUUGUUUUUUCCUCCGUUCUUCAAAUAAAUAACUCUAUAAAAUGGUUAUUUUUGAAUUUUUAAAUAAGGUUUUUUUUUUAAAUCAAAAAAAAAUAUUUGGUGGUUCUUGACUUUUUUUCACUUUAGAACAUUAUAAAUUGGAGGCUAUUAGUUAUUAUUAUAUUGAAAAAAAUUUGCACUACAAUAUCUGAAUUAUAAUUUGAAGUUACUGACUUUCCCAUUGAUUUACAUAUUACAUCUAUUGGGACUAAAUUUAAAGUAUCGGCUUUAAACUUGUAAUAAAACAUGUUGAUGUUAGUCAUCAGGAGAAAUAGUGCGUGUGCCGUAAAAUAGUUUUUUUUUUUUUAGAUAGUGAGCGCAACGAGAAAUGUAUUUAGUUUUAUUAUGAUAUUUUUGUCUGUAAACAACUUUUCCACUAGAAAUUUUGUUCCAAUUUACUAAAAACCGACAAGAGAGUUUUUAUAGUAGUAUUUUGAUCCAGUUGGUGCCACCUUUUUUUUUUUUUAAUUUCCUUAAAGUUUACUUUAACAUUUUGAAAAAUCGAAAAAACUCACAAAAUAACGGACAUUUUUACGGAAAUAACACUUUCAAUAAUUUCGAUUUUGUUUUUAUUUGGUUAAAAAUAACCAUAUUGACCUGAAAUUCGUACACAAUACUUGUAUUAGCUUUUGUGGAUAUCGUAUAAUUUCCAAUAAAUUCAAGCGUUUUCUGUGUUAUUUAACGGCAUUUGACAUAUACGAUUCGUAUUGGUUUUUAUUUGAUUUCAUGAAUAUAAAUUUAUUUUGGAUAAACAAAAAUGCAUGAAAAUUUAACACGAAGUUCAUCAUUAUGUGUUUGAUAUAAUGUUAAAAAAAAAAAAUGAGCAUUAUGUAUUAAUUUGUUUUUAUUUUUUUAAAAAUCAUUUUAAGGUCAAAUUUCGAAGAAAAUCUUAAAAAUUACAUUUUAAAACCGAAUAUAUAGCCGAACUUCGCUAUGAAUCGUAUUUUGUUAUCAGUGAUUUAUAUAAAUAAAAUGACUUUUUAUAUCUAACCUCCUCAAUUUCCACCUACUUAAGUGGCACGCCUAUAUCAGCCUGUCAAUACCAGUGACGUAUCUGAAGCUCAAUCAAGAAGGGGGGGGGAGUUUGCUUACAAAUUAUAAUACAUCACAAAUUACCGCGAGGAGUUUCCUCGUCCGAUAAAUAGCAACAGUUAUAAUUUUUUUUUCUUAAUUUCUCUUCUUGCCAAUUAAAAAAAUAGUUUAUAUGUAUAAACUAUUAAUAUUAUACAAAAAAAAAAAAAAAAAUUAUAUAUUAUAUUUAUAUUACGGGAAAGAGCCGGAAUGAGGCGAAUCUCGGAAAUGCUCGGGCAAAACGCGAAGUGUCGACGAUACUUGUGCAAAAGACCAGAAAACUUCGUAUUUCGCUUUUUGCCCGGACCAACAGCUAGUGACCAACAGCUCAUUUGGGCAAAACUGUGACGUCCAUUAAUUUUAAUUUUUCACGGUAGAUGGGUACCAUGUUUUUUUAGUUUUUUUUUUUUAAUGUCUAUUACAUAUAAAUAACGAUAAAAUAAUAGACUAUUGUUCCAGCAUGGUUAAAUAUGAUUCAAUACGUUUUAAUAACAAUAAAAUUAACAUAAUUAUAUUAGGUACUAGCUGUGUUACCCGGCUUCGCCCGUGGACAGUUUUGUAAUGCAAAAUAUUUUUGAUAUUAUUUUAUAUUUCACUCAGUUUUUUCUUUCAUCCGUGUUACCGACCUUUAAAUUUGUUUUUAUUUCAUCCGUAUUACUAUGGUAAUUCAUAACAAUAAAUUGUAUCCGUGUUAUCAGGGCCCUGGAUAAAUUCAUUUUUGUGAGACUUUUUUAUCAGCGUACCACCGCUUUCAUCUAACAAUUGCAAUAAUACCAAACACUUGGCUACGGACACUGUUUAAUGAGACAACGCGCGCGUACGUGUUUUUCCCAAAAACAUCAUAACAUUUUUAAAAGAAUUAUUUUUUCGGUUUUACACCCAUUAUAAUUACGGUACCCUUUUUUUAUGGGUCUGUAAGCGCGGAGCCUCUGUAAGCGCGAGGCCCUGGCCGUAGGGUCCACUUGCCUUACUUGCCGACUCUGCGUGUUACCGUGGUAAUCCACAAAAAUACAUAAAUAAUACCUACAUACACUUUUAUGUGCGUAUUUGCCGCUUAUUUUUUUAAAAUUAAUAACGUAUUUGGCGAUGAAUUGUUAAUCCACUUGAACGCAAUAUUUUUUAAAAUGCUUACUUAUUGCACGUAUUCAGAAUGUUAAAAGAACCGCUAUUCCAAAUUUCUAGUCCGUUGGUCGUGUAGUUUUUGAGAUAUAGCGAUCAGUGAGUGGUAUUCGGCUUUUAUACGUAUACAUAAUUACAAAUAGAUUAUGUUGAUUUAAAGAAUUUUAUUCCGAUAUUCUAAAAAUACAUUUGACAUAUUAUUAUAUCGACAAAAACGUAUUCGUAAUUUAAAAAAGUACAAUGAUAUUUACAAUAUUCGCUCUCCUCACUAAUAAAUUGGUGUUUGCGCGGACGGAUCUGGUUUACGGCACAUUGUGCGGACAAUAUAAAUGCAAAUGUAAAUACUAACUGUCUACUGUGGAAAUUGGAAGUUUAUGGACGUUACAGUUUUGCCGGAAUGAGGUCGGUCACUGCCAGGUUCGUCCGGGCAAAAGCCGAAACGUGACGUUUUUUGUCCAAGUAUCGUGGACAUUUCGCGUUUUGCCCGGGCGUUUCUGAGAUUUGCGCGAUCUCGGUUCUCGCCCGUAAAAUGCGUACUUAUUAUUUAUAAUAUACACAAUAUAUUAUUCAUGUCGAACAAUUACGCACUCGACGUAUACAAAAAUAUCUACAACAACGUUAAAGCAAUAUUAGUUUGGUUUUUUUUCUCUCGCUCUCUCUCCGCAAACCGAUCUGCGACUACCGCUUGGGGACAUCCACGUCGAUAUUCCCGUGUAUUGGUACACACAGGUUUCCUCCGUUUAUCGUUAUCGUUAUCCGUUGGUACCGUCGUUGAACGUAAACGCCGAAGAAAUAAUAAAUAUCAACAUUAUUAAAUGUUAUACCGUUUCAUUAGGUACAGCGUACAGCCGCGACGAGAAGAGCGCAGCCAAAAAUUUCCGAGUAGCGGGGGGGCGAUGCCGCAGACGGUCGCGAACAUUCGCCACUGUUCUGCGAUAAAUCGACGGAGGUACACCACUAAUAUUACACCAUUUACACGCCCGAUCGGUGUUAUCGCGUUUUGUAUAAUAUUUAUUAAUUUCGCGUCGCGGGGUUUUUUUUUCUCUAGAAAAUCGCUAAUUCCGUCGUCGUUUACUUUGAACGGCCAAUUACGGCGGGUUCGCGGAAUGUAUUCGAUUGGCCGCACGCUGUUGUUGCGUCCGACGAGAUAACAGUUUUUCAGAAUGCCGCGAGAACGCCGCGAAUCUUAUAACACCCGUUAUGACACUCGCGUUGUGCCGCGCGUUACGGCGUCCGAUUUAUAGUUCACGGGCACAGGCAUGGUCCAGGGUCCCGGGGACGGAGCGUGGUCCCGAGUGUUGUAAUUGUCGCGCGUAAAUUGCGUACACGGUUAUCGAACCGGCCGAAGAGAAUGCCGCAGCAACACUCGUAAUAAAGUUGUUAUUGUUAGAAAAAAAAAAAAAAAAAAUGCAUGUACACGCAUACGGUUGCGAUUCCCGCAGACGGACAAUUGACACGGGCGCGUGGUUAUUUCCGUUUGUGUUUGUCGGCGAGGCGCGGUGAACCGCGCCGAAAAAUAUAACUGCGCGAACACUAAAAUUCGUUUUAUUCUCGCGGGUCACCGCCGGGCGUAUUUAUUUUACGGUAUGAAUUACAGUAUUGGUGUGCGUCGAGCGGUCGGUCGAUUUAUCCGUCAUCGUUCGAUUCCGUUUGUACCCGAAUACAAUGUUGUUGACGUAUUGCAGCGAUAAAACGUGUACUGUUGCGCCAACACCGUAUGCAUUUAAGCGAUUUUCGCGUAAUUCCUUUUACAAAGGCGCGCGCGCGCCCGUUGACAUUCCCGAGAUGGAGAAAUCGAUGCGUUCCCCGUUCAUAAUUCCGUGUUUCCGUAACGGAAGCGUUCCGCAUUGGCAUUCGUCUCGAUUUGGAAUGCAUAAAUUGUUGGUAUAAACAUGUUGUUAACGAUAAAAAAAAUCAAAAAAGAACGGGCACGCUUCGCACGUGGACGCAGCGACUGUUGUAGGGUACGCGCGGGAAUUUAUGGUCUACAACCGGUAAGCAACCGAUGGACCGUUGCUAACGAAGGCACGAUUCUGAGCGGAGUCGCUUUUGUCAACAAUAUAAUAUAAUAUGACGUAUUAUGUCAUGCUGUGGUAAUACGAUUAUAACAAUGUGCGUUUCCACGACAACAAUGAUUGUUUAAUUAAUAAUAAUAGAAAUAAAUGAAAACGGUUGCCAAUGACAAGCUUAUUUUUAAUCUUUCGAUCGUUUUUAACCCGGAGAACCAGGUUUUCCUCCUUAUCUCGAAUAUUAAUGAAAAUUUCAAAAUAUGACGUCUUUGAAGUACCGCCCAGAGAAUAUUUCCUUUCGGAAAAAGUGUUAUAAUUGAUAAUCGGGAUGAGCUUUCUGGUAAAAAAAAGUGUUCGUAUGAAAAAAAUAAUAAAACAUCAUUGUAAAACCUAUUCUUCACUCCUCAAUCACUCCGCUCAGAAUCUAAAACAAUUUUUCUCAUAAAGUACGCAAAUUAUUUCUGUACGCUUUCAAAUGCAUGCAUUGUACAAGAUAUUUUGAUCGUGAAACAUUUUGAAUAAGAUAUAUUUUGACGGUGUCCCUAUUUUUGAGACAAUAAACGCACUGACACCGGGCCCCUUGCCAGGUCGACGCGUCGUACGAAAACAUCUAUUUGUAGUAGGACUGGAUUUCGGGUUGUAGGCACCCCAAGUCUCAUAUCAAGCGGAGGCGUUUGCUUGAGUAGAGGUCGGUUUAGUUUUAGAAAAAACUAAAAUCGAGAGCGGUAGCCUCGGCGCACACGUCGGUUCGGGCUCGUGCCGUAACACGAGGUUUGUCGACCGUUUUAUCGAAACCGUUUCGCGGACGCGUGACGCGUUUGGCUCGGACGAUGCAUAUGGCCGUACGCCACGUCGGCCGUGUUGUUUUCGCGGCUCGUCCUCCGUGGUUUCGAGGAUCUUGAAUAAUCGACGCAGUGAUACGCGCGCGCGCGCGCGCGCGUGUACAAUAGGCGUAGCAGCGGGAACCGACCGUCCGACGACAAAUAUUUUCGGGGGAAAAAACGAGAUUCGAAUAGCGCCGCGCGUCGAAACACGCGGUGCGUUUGUAAACAAUAAUAAAACGAUACGCGCCGGGCCGAUUGCAGUACACGGAAACGGGUCGCGAGCGGGUUUCGAUUGGAAUCUCGAUGGAAACCGAACGGAACGCGACGCGGGACGGCUGCUGCGCGCACAACGCCGGCGGCGUGCCGGGGCGCGCGGGCCCUCCGCCCGUGGGCGAGUGCGACGUUGUGCCCGCCGCCGCGAUGCGCCGCCAUCGGACGACAGCGUUUAGGGCCCCGCUGUAAGACCAGUGAAAGGUCUUGACCCAGUCUCCGCGUUGACCUUGUCCUCGUAACGCGCGCCGUCCGCCUGCCUAUCCGCUACCCGCUAUCCGGCUGUCCGGACGACGAGAAAGCAGCUCGCGUUCGGCGGCGGCUCGCUCGCGCUUGCCGGCGCGCACGCGGAAACACGAAUUCGGCUGGAACUCGAUGCCGCGAUGCCGCCGCCGCCGCCGGCCAUUGCACGCGUUAGGCGAGACGAUUUUCGAAAAUGUCCACUUCGGCCCGGAACGCGCGCGCGCGGGGGAGGGGGGGGGAUGCCGCGUCGCGCACCGACCCGACUCGAACACACUUUGCUCGUAAAUCAUUUUAUCGCUGUUUUGUUUUUUCCCCCCACCGGCCGCAGUGUCGUCGUUCGCGUGGCGCGCCGUGUGACCGCCGCGAGGGUUCCGUAGACUCUGAACUGAGCGACGAACGCGCGUCGUUUGAUGUUUGGAUUCUGAGCGUGGUAAAAAAAAAAAAAAAUAAAAAAAAAACGUCCGAAAAACGGGAUUACUCGGUCAACGCCGCGACUCAGUUUCCGUCCAAAUCGACGAUUUGAUUUCCUCUCCCCCCCCCGUUUUGAUUGGUAAAAAAAACAACAUGAAAAUAUCACUGUUCCUCGGUAAAUAAUUACUGUCGGGUCUAUAAAACCAGCUGCGGCAUACACCCGCACACUCGCAUGCAUCGCGUCAAGCGCUCGUUGCAUAUUAUCACAGCGAAAACGACGAUAGUGUUAUUUACGAUUUAUUAUUUACGACUGCGGUAACACGUUUUAUUAUCAUCAAUUAUAUCGCAAUUAUUGCGCGUAUUUAUAAAUACGUAAUUUUUUUUAAAAAAAAAAAAACUGCUGAUAUGGGCGUGCCACUUUUUUAGUAGGGAAGUUGGAAGGGAUUAUUAUUACAGUCAUUUUAUUCACAUCUGUGCGCAACGAUAAACCGUUGCUAAUGAAAAACGAUUUUAAGACGAAGAAAAUUGUAAUUAGUCGUAUUUGUUCCCCCCCCCCCGAAAAAAAAAAUCACGCCAACAAUACCCAGUUUUGACCAGAGAUUUCGAAAAAUGAACUCUCUUUAGGUUAAAGAUUCUACGAGAAAGUUUCUACAAAGCUUUUGAUUGAAACACAAUUUAAACCGUACAGGAAUUGUUCACGGACAUAGAAAACAGCACAACAUACAGUCAAGCCAAUACGCAUUCCCCGGUUCGCUCUGAAUCUAAAACAAUACCGAUUUCUUUGCGAGCGCAGUUAUCCUACAACAUAAUAUAUUUGAAAAGAUGUUGUUUCUCUCUUGAAAUCGAUCUAUUAAAGGACAUUUAAGGAGGAUAUCGGUUACAAUAAAACCACCAGGAUUCUUUUUCGAGUUGUUCCGGUUAUUCAGCCAACGUGAGAGGAUAAUACUCACUCCUGGAUUUCACUUUUGUAAAAUGAAAAUAUUCUUAUUUGUUUUUUUUUUUUUUUUGAGGGUGGGAGGAGUGGGGUCUCUCAGCUGGGCCUUGACAAUUAAAAAUUAAUCCUGUUUCUACAUUAAGUUGUACCUAUAUUGUUGAUUCGAUCUAAAUGUGAAACCAAACGAACCCGAACGGUUUUUUUUCUUUUUUGAAAAUAAUAUCUUUUGAAGCCGACGCGAAUAAUCGGCCGGUAACGUUUUAGUUGUUAGCGAACAUCGUAAUUGUAUUCAUAAACAAUCAACUUUUUACGAAAUACUGCAUAGCCUCCUCCUGGUAACACUGUUUUAAAGUCCAAAGCGCCAAACCAAUACUGUUUUAUAUUGUUCAUAGGCGUCGUACGACGUGCGAAAAAUUUAACGGUUUUUGCUUUCGGGUUUCAGAAUCUCGCCGGACCGCCGUCAUCGUCGUGAACGACGCCCGCCUCCUGAAGCCGUUGCGCGCCACCGUCGAUAUUUACAUCGGUGCGUCGACGUGGUCGUAGACAGCGCCCAGACAGCCGAUCGUCGUACAGCUCUACACGGCGG